UUAGCACUGAAAGACUUUGGAAUUCAGCAUGCAGUUACAACAUCAAAGGAAUGAUGAUGAAGUGUUUCUACUACUUCUCAGCAAAGAGUUCUCUCUCACUGGUAUUCUGAUGAAGGGGAGGGGAGGAGCCACCAGCCAGAAAUGACAAACUUUGAGCACAUGAAGUUAAGACAUGUUUUGGUUUAGAUGUCUGUGAAGAGCCAACACUGCCCAAGAAGCUCAGGGAAGCCCCAGCCUGACUUGCUUCCAGAAAAGGAGGUGGUAGGAAAUGGAAAGGCAAAAGAAAAGCAUUUUAAAGCUUCGUUCUGAACUGUAAAAAAAUAAAAAUGUAAGAAAAACCAAA